AAAACUGCUCCUGUCCAGGUCUGGAACUGGCCAGAGAAAAGCAGCUGCUGGGAAAGAGGAGCCAGAUGUUACAUCUGAGAGGUCCCGCAAGAACCCCUUCCAACCCAAGACUGAACCAACUGGGAGGUGGAGGGCUGCAAGUAGAAGGUUGGGCCCAGAUUAAAGGCCCACCACAGACGAUCCAGAACAGAAGUGGCUCUUCCUACUUCAAAUGAUUUGAGUAAGAAAAAAAAAAUCUCUUGCCAAGUGGUGGUGGCUCAUGCCUCUAAUUCCAGAACUCGGGAGGCAGAAGCAGGUGAAUCUCUGAGUUUGAGACUAGUCUGGUUUACAGAGUAAGCUCCAGGUCAGCCGAGGCUGCACAGAGAAAUCCUGUCUCUAAAAAUAAACAAAUAAACCAACCAACAAAUGAAAGAAAGAAGGAAGAAAGAAAGAAAGAUUCCUCAAAACAAAAUAAAAACCUGGGCAGUGGUGGUGCACACCUUUAAUCCCAGCAUUAAAGGUGGAAGGAUGCAGAGGAAGGUGGAUCUUUGAGUUUGAGCCCAGCCUGGUCUACAUAGCAAUUUCCUGGACAGCCGGGUCUACACAGAGAAUCCUUAUCUCAUAAAACCAAAAAAGACUGUUUUCCCUGGUAUGCCACUGAAGUUCCCAUUGUCAUCAUAGGCCACCACUCCACCUGGUGUUACCGAUGUUGUAAGAACAAGUGUAUUAAAGUCUUCUUGAGACAUCCCUGA